UACGUAGGGUGCGAGCGUUAAUCGGAAUUACUGGGCGUAAAGCGCGCGCAGGCGGUUUUGCAAGUCUGGCGUGAAAUCCCCGGGCUUAACCUGGGAAUGGCGAUGGAGACUGCAAGGCUAGAGUUUGGCAGAGGGGGGUAGAAUUCCACGUGUAGCAGUGAAAUGCGUAGAGAUGUGGAGGAACACCGAUGGCGAAGGCAGCCCCCUGGGUCAAGACUGACGCUCAUGCACGAAAGCGUGGGGAGCAAACAGG
rnacentral:rRNA from 1 species